ACAUCCUCGACGGCGAGCGAGCCACCUGGCCUCACCUCGAGCUCAUCCGCUCUCUCACCGACAUCGAGUACACUCUCGACGCGGUGGCGGCCGAGCUGCAGUGCGUCGUCCACGGGAAGCUGAUGCGCCAGCACUCGCGCUCCUCGUACGGCGGCUCGUC
rnacentral:SRP_RNA from 1 species